rnacentral:rRNA from 1 species
GACGAACGCUGGCGGCGUGCUUAACACAUGCAAGUCGAACGGAAAGGCCCUGCUUUUGUGGGGUGCUCGAGUGGCGAACGGGUGAGUAACACGUGAGUAACCUGCCCUUGACUUUGGGAUAACUUCAGGAAACUGGGGCUAAUACCGGAUAGGAGCUCCUGCUGCAUGGUGGGGGUUGGAAAGUUUCGGCGGUUGGGGAUGGACUCGCGGCUUAUCAGCUUGUUGGUGGGGUAGUGGCUUACCAAGGCUUUGACGGGUAGCCGGCCUGAGAGGGUGACCGGCCACAUUGGGACUGAGAUACGGCCCAGACUCCUACGGGAGGCAGCAGUGGGGAGUAUUGCACAAUGGGCGGAAGCCUGAUGCAGCAACGCCGCGUGCGGGAUGACGGCCUUCGGGUUGUAAACCGAUUUCGCCUGUGACGAAGCGUGAGUGACGGUAAUGAGUAAAGAAGCACCGGCUAACUACGUG